UGACAUUUAUUACAUCUCACCAUUUUCAGUUUUUUCUCCCCUUUUAAAAGGAGCAAAGUAAUAAUGUUCUCCAACUCAUUUUCAGCUCAUAUAAGUUUUUUUCCCCUCAAGUUCCAUUUGUUGUGGCCUGAUGCUAACAAUAAUUUCUUAAAGGUCUAAAGGAAAUGUUUUCUUCCAACAUAAUAUUCUGUACACUGCAGAAGGUCUUUCCUUUUGCCUUUUGGUAACUGGCCUAACAGAUUUUACGUUUUAUGGAAAUAAUUCCUAUGGCAUUAAGUUUUGAUUUGCUUACGAAAAAAAACUGAGACAAAUUUUUUUUUAAAUUAAGGUUAUUACAUCCACGUAUCUUUUUGUAUGUGCUUUUGAAGUUCUUGUAACAUUAAGUUACAGGGCUUUGACUCUUGGGUCUGAGAAGGAUACCAAGUCCUGUAAAAUCUUAAAUACUGACAGUAAUUAAAGCCUCAUCAUCAGGCCCCAUAGAAGAUGCCAAUCAAAAUAAACUGCAUUCCUGAGACACAGGCCAGAAAUUAAAGCUAUUCAACUCCUCAACGCCAAGGGACUACUGUGGAACAGGAAUAAACCUCAUGAAAGAGGAGAAAAUAGCAACGAAUUUUAAAAGCUGGAACACUGAUGGACAACGAUCCUGAAUUCCAGCUGAAGAGUUGACAUCAACCAGUUUGAAGCCUCCCUUCCCCCCGAAGAGGAACAAAAUCAGC
rnacentral:lncRNA from 1 species